AGCCGCGGUAAUACGUAGGUGGCGAGCGUUAUCCGGAAUUACUGGGUGUAAAGGGCGCGUAGGCGGGUAUGCAAGUUGGAUGUGAAAUUCCGGGGCUUAACUCCGGAUUGUCAUCUAAAACUGUGUAUCUUGAGUGUCAGAGGGGAAAGUGGAAUUCCUAGUGGAGUGGUAAAAUGCGUAGAUAUUAGGAGGAACAUCGGUGGCGAAGGCGACUUUCUGGCUGACAACUGACGCUGAGGCGCGAAAGCGUGGGUAGCGAACAGGAUUAGAUACCCUGGUAGUCCACGCCGUAAACGCUGAUUACUAGGUGUAGGGGGUAUAGACUCCCUCUGUGCCGCAGUUAACGCAUUAAGUAAUCCACCUGGGGAGUACGGCCGCAAGGUUAAAACUCAAAGGAAUUGACGGGGGCCCGCACAAGCAGUGGAGUAUGUGGUUUAAUUCGAAGCAACGCGAAGAACCUUACCAGGGCUUGACAUCCUCGGACGACACUAGAGAUAGUGUUUUCUCUUCGGAGACUGAGAGACAGGAGGUGCAUGGCC
rnacentral:rRNA from 1 species